AUUGAACGCUGGCGGCAGGCCUAACACAUGCAAGUCGAACGAGUGGCGGACGGGUGAGUAAUGUCUGGGAAACUGCCCGUUGGAGGGGGAUAACUACUGGAAACGGUAGCUACUACCGCAUACCAUCGGAUGUGCCUAGAUGGGAUUAGCUAUGGGGUGGGGUAAAGGCUCACCUAGGCGAAGAUCCCUAGCUGGUCUGAGAGGAUGACCAGCCACACUGGAACUGAGACACGGUCCAGACUCCUACGGGAGGCAGCAGUGGGGAAUAUUGCACAAUGGGCGCAAGCCUGAUGCAGCCAUGCCGGGUGUAUGAAGAAGGCCUUCGGGUUGUAAAGUACUUUCAGCGAGGAGGCGUUACCCGCAGAAGAAGCACCGGCUAACUCCGUGCCAGCAGCCGCGGUAAUUC
rnacentral:rRNA from 1 species